rnacentral:lncRNA from 1 species
CAAAACCUGCUGCAACUGGUAAGCCAGCUGGAACCCCAGUAUCUUCUUCCCAAGCAGCAGAUGCAUGGGAGAAAAUGCAGCUGGAGAAGCUGAAAGCGAAGUAUAAGCAGCAGACUGAUCACAUCAUUUCGUGGGAGGACGGGAGGAAGGCUAAAGCAAGGCGUCGACUCGACAGAGCUGAGGUUUGUUUUCUCCAUUACAUCCAAAUAAUUCGAACUAACAGAUUGUCUGAUAACAUGCUUGUUUCUUCUUCGUGUUGGAUGAACUUUUGGGCAGAGUGAAAUGGAGAGGAGCAGGCUGAGAGCAUUGGACAAGUUUCGGGGGGACAUGGAGAUAGUGAAUAAGAUUGCAGGAGGAGCAAAGGCGAAGACAGCUGAGAGGAUGAAGAAGGAAGAGGUUAAAUUGAAGGAGAAAGCUGAUGCUAUCAGAAGAACAAGUGGCAAAUUCCCAGCAAGAAGGCCUUGUUUAUGCAUCUGAUCAUAUUAUGUUUGACUAAUAAUCUGUUGUAAUAUAAUGUUUGUAGCACUUUGUUGUGUUCAGGAAAUGUGUAUGCAUCUGAACAUCCGAAAUUAACUCCAAAUCCUGCCAAAUUCACCUCCAAUUCCGACUUCGAAAACGUAUCCUAUGUCUAUAAUCAGUUCGAAAUGCCAGAUCCAGUAAUGAAAUGAAGAUAAACACCCUUCUGCAUAUAUAUAAUUAAGAACACUCCGACAGAUAAACCAGACACAAAUUACAUUACUACAACAGCAACAACACACCGAUCAUAAAGUUAAUUAAACUCCACAUAAUCCAUACUUAUAUUCCCCCACCAAUCCACCAUACACCUUAAUUAAUUAAGUUAUUAAUCACUUGAAGAACCCUUCAGCCAUCUUAGCAUACCCGCCAAGCCCACCUCCUUCAGAUUUCUCCUCCUUACCGGCGGCGCCUUCCUCGGCCGGCUUGCCGGCUCCCUCAGCGGUCUUCGAACCGCCGCUGUACUGACGGAGAUAUUCCUCCGCCUUGUCGACGUACUGGCCAUAGCCCUUCUCGUCCAGCUUCCCGUACUUGUUGCCGGCCUCGAUCAGGUCCUCCGCCGCGUCGGCCACCUUGGCCUUGUCUAUGCCGUCGGCCGAUUUGCUCUGCAUCGCCGACUGGGCAGCUGCCGCCACCACUUUUGCGCUCGCCAUCAGCUCCGCGUUCGACGGCGCCGCUACCUCUUCCUUCUUGUCGCCGGCCGGGGCCGGGGUCGGUGCUGAGGGGUGUUCAGUUUCCUUGUCGCCACCGGUGGCUCCGGGGAGCUUGGACUCGGCUGCCUUGGUGAUGGAGGAAAGUAGGCCGUCCAUAAUUAAUUCUAGAUGCCAAAGGAGAAAGAAAUUAAAGCAGAGAGAUUUGUGGGAAGUGACUGAGUGAUUGGAGAUUGGAGGAUACGGUGGUUUAUAUAAUGCUUAGGAUAUUUUUGGAUAUCUUGAUUUUUUUUUAUAAAUACGCGAGAUGGACACGUAUUACUUGUGAUAUACGUGUGUACUUGUAUUUUAUACAGUAAUAUACGUGUUGUUUGAGUCUAAAACCUCUCGACGAAUUAAAUCGCUCAUGAAUAGUUGUAUUUGAUGUGAAAUUUUUUUGUUCAUGAUGAGUCGGGUAUGUUUAAUCAAAUAGGUUUGAGUUCGAACAGAAAUAAUUUUGGAUAUAUGCUUUGUUAAUAAAUUUAAUAAUGUAAUGUAUGUUUGCCUCGAAUAUUAUAUAUAUAUAUAUAUAAUUUAUUAUUAUGUNNNNNNNNNNNNNNNNNNNNNNNNNNNNNNNNNNNNNNNNNNNNNNNNNNNNNNNNNNNNNNNNNNNNNUCGAUCGAUUCGUGAUCAGCCCGGCUAAUCACAAAAAAAGCUAUACCAUUUUUACAAAUUAAAAAAAACUAUUAUAUUAGUUAAUAUUGGAGUAGGGAGUGUUUGGCAGGAGUAAGAGUUGCGACGUGGAAGAAUGAUGGCCACAAGAAGUUUAGAAAGGUGGUGACUAUUGAGUAUAAAAGUAUUAUCUUCCUGCUGUUCCAAUAUCUAGAUAUCUUUAUGACAAAAAAUGGGACCAGAAAACACGAUAAUUGUUUUUAUUUGCCGACAAUAACUCUCCAAGUACUCAACUCCGUGAUUAAUACACACCAAUUCAAUUAUAUUUUAAGAAGUUAAUUUGAUGUGCCAAUUAUCGAUACAAAAAAGAGACAUUCUGGUGCACAGUAGAAACUAUUCAGGUGGUUUGUUUAGUUUUGUAAAGAAAUUAUUAUGAACAAAUUCAUGGUUAGAUCCCUUAUGGAUAGUGGAUAGAUCAUUGAGAUUUUUGAAAGAGAAUUUGCAUCAUGUUCCGUGAGUAAUACACAUCGAUAUUUAUCAAUAUAAAAUAAAAAAAUAGAAAGUAAACAUUAUAUUGGUGUUUAUUUUGUGAAUUGUGUUGGAUUAGAAUUAAAAACUUUUAAAUUAUCACACACAUAAUUUUACCAUCAGAAUAAUUCCACUUCAAUACAUUGUAGUUGUUACGGUAAGGUUAAGUAAAAAUGAAAACCAAACUCUUAAUUUUAAUUUAAUCAUAUAGUUAAAGAAUUUCCAAAUAAGAAUAUGAACAAAAAUGUAAACAUCUAAUUCUAGCUAUUAUUCAAUUCCCAAAGCCACGUUACACAACAACACCAUCACAUGACUAACCACAAACAUAAACAGAAAAGAACCAGAUAGAAAAACAACAAGUACAACUGCAACAUAAUUAAUUAACACGCAGAUUUUUCAGCGGCGGGGAAUUAAACUAAAAUAAAAAAACAUGCAUAAUUAUUUUCAAUUUUCAUCCAUUUACUUCUUGGCAGUGGCGUUGUGGAUGGCCUGCUUCCCCUGCUCGACGUAGUGGGUGGUGCCGGCGACGACUGUGUCCUUAACGCCGAUCGCCCCCUCCUUGGUGUUGGCCACGAUCCCCGGGCCGGCCGGUGCAACCACGGCUGGCUUCUUCUCCUCGGCCUUGCCGCCGCCGGGCAUCAUGUCUUGGGCUUUCUUCAAUAGUCCGUCCAUAUCUAGUUAUAAACAAGUAGGAUUCAAAGAGAUGGGAAAUUGGUACGUAAGAGAUUUUAGUGUGUUUUGAUGGGUUUCAUGGGAUAUAUGGUACGUACUAGUUAUAUAGUGGUACAAAUUUUGGGAAGUUUGGAAGAUAUUUUGAUUGGCUUUUGCUGUGUGUGGCUUACAAUUGGCUUGCCGACAUCGAAAUGAACAGGUUCUACGUGAUAGUCUUUACA